UACAGAGGGGCAAGCGUUGUUCGGAAUUACUGGGCGUAAAGGGCGCGUAGGUGGCCUUCUAAGUUGAACGUGAAAUCCCUGGGCUCAACCCAGGAACUGCGUCCAAGACUGGGAGGCUUGAAUCCGGGAGAGGGAUGCGGAAUCCAGGUGGUAGCGGUGAAAUGCGUAGAUAUCUGGAGGAACACCGGUGGCGAAGGCGGCAUCCUGGACCGGUAUUGACACUGAGGCGCGAAAGCCAGGGAGCAAACGGG
rnacentral:rRNA from 1 species